rnacentral:rRNA from 1 species
CUACGGGGCGCUGCAGUGGGGAAUAUUGCACAAUGGGGGAAACCCUGAUGCAGCAACGCCGCGUGGAGGAUGACGCAUUUCGGUGUGUAAACUCCUUUUAUAUAGGAAGAUAAUGACGGUACUAUAUGAAUAAGCACCGGCUAACUCCGUGCCAGCAGCCGCGGUAAUACGGAGGGUGCAAGCGUUACUCGGAAUCACUGGGCGUAAAGCGCGCGCAGGCGGCCCCUUAAGUUGGAUGUGAAAGCCUACAGCUUAACCGUAGAACUGCAUCCAAAACUGAGGGGCUAGAGUCUGGGAGGGGAAGAUGGAAUUAGUUGUGUAGGGGUAAAAUCCGUAGAGAUAACUAGGAAUACCAAAAGCGAAGGCGAUCUUCUGGAACAGUACUGACGCUGAGGCGCGAAAGCGUGGGGAGCAAACAGGAUUAGAUACCCCUGUAGUC